CGUUCCAACCAUUUGAGGAGGUAGUUAGGCGCUGGAGUUAGCGUUGUGGGCGACUUCGGUCAAGGCCAAGGAGGAAAGGGCAAGGCUCCCAUGUACGGGUGACGGUGGGUGAGGCG